CAACAAUGGAGUCUGGAGUCAUGGGUGAAAUCGAGGAACUUUUGUCCGAACAAGUUCGCCGUUACCAACAUUUGUACGACCCUUCAUCGAAGCUGUAUAAGAACAGUGGGGUUACAAACAAUUCCUGGAAAGAGAUAGGAGAAAUUCUGGGCGAAGAGCCAACAACUUGCCAGAAGAGGUGGAAGCUGAUGAGGGACAAAUAUGUGAGAAUAAAGAAGAAAUUGAGUAGUAGAAGUGGCGAUUCAGGAGGGAAUAAAGUACCUCCAUAUUACAGAAAGCUUUCUUGGCUGUCCGGGUACAUAAAACACCGUGAAACCGACUCCAACUUUGUCGAGGACACAAAUGGGCACUCACCUCUCUGUCUGGUACAAAAUUUGACUUCCCCUAUCAACAAAGACGAGGCAACAAUGGAGUCUGGAGGCAUGGCUCAAAUCGAGGAACUUUUGACCAAACAAGUUCGCCGUUACCGGCAUUUGUACGACCCAUCGUCGAAGUUGUAUAAGAACAGUGAGGUUACAAACAAUUCCUGGAAAGAGAUAGGUGAAAUUCUGGGCGAAGAGCCAACAACUUGCCAGAAGAGGUGGAAGCUGAUGAGGGACAAAUAUGUGAGAAUAAAGAAGAAAUUGAACAGUAGAAGUGGCGAUUCAGGAGGGAAUAAAGUACCUCCAUAUUAUAGAAAGCUUUCUUGGCUGUCCGGAUACAUAAAACACCGUGAAACUGACUCCAAUUUUGUUGAGGACACAAAUGAGCACUCCCCACCCUGUCUGGAAGCAAAUUUGACUUCCUCAAUCAACAAAGACGAGGCUACAAUUGAGUCUGGAGGCAUGGCUCAAAUCGAGGAACUUUUGUCCAAACAAGUUCGCCGUUACCGGCAUUUGUACGACCCUUCGUCGGAUUUGUAUAAGAACAGUGUGGUUACUCACGUUUCCUGGAAAGAGAUAGGAGAAAUUCUGGGCGAAGAGCCAGCAACUUGCCAGAAGAGGUGGAAGCUGAUGAGGGACAAAUAUGUGAGAAUAAAGAAGAAAUUGAGCAGUAGACGCGCCGAUUCAGGAGGGAAUAAAGUACCUCCGUAUUAUAGAAAGCUUUCUUGGCUGUCCGGAUACAUAAAACACCGUGAAACCGACUCCAAUUUGGACACAAAUGAGGUAAGUUCAGUUUUUCAAAUUGCCAAAUUCAGUGUUGAUUACUUCUACUGCAACGUUGGUUUACUGUCCAGUAGUUCAAGUUCAAAAGUGUAUACCGAAUAACAUAGCGUCGUCCUGCACAAUGAAAUUCUUG
ensembl:lncRNA